UACGGGGGGGGCAAGCGUUGUUCGGAAUUACUGGGCGUAAAGGGCUCGUAGGCGGCCAACUAAGUCGGACGUGAAAUCCCCUCGGCUUAACCGGGGAACUGCGUCCGAUACUGGAUGGCUGGAGGUUGGGAGAGGGAUGCGGAAUUCCGGGUGUAGCGGUGGAAUGCGUAGAGAUCCGGAAGAACACCGGUGGCGAAGGCGGUCUGGCUGGGCAGUAGCUGGACACUGAGGCGCGACAGCGUGGGGAGCA
rnacentral:rRNA from 1 species